rnacentral:rRNA from 1 species
UACGUAGGGUGCAAGCGUUAAUCGGAAUUACUGGGCGUAAGGCGUGCGCAGGCGGUGAUGUAAGACAGUUGUGAAAUCCCCGGGCUCAACCUGGGAACUGCAUCUGUGACUGCAUCGCUGGAGUACGGUAGAGGGGGAUGGAAUUCCGCGUGUAGCAGUGAAAUGCGUAGAUAUGCGGAGGAACACCGAUGGCGAAGGCAAUCCCCUGGACCUGUACUGACGCUCAUGCACGAAAGCGUGGGGAGCAAACAGG